CNACCUGCCCACCACUUGGGGAUAACCUUGCGAAAGUAAGACUAAUACCCAAUGACGUCUCUAGAAGACAUCUGAAAGAGAUUAAAGAUUUAUCGGUGAUGGAUGGGGAUGCGUCCGAUUAGCUUGUUGGCGGGGUAACGGCCCACCAAGGCAACGAUCAGUAGGGGUUCUGAGAGGAAGGUCCCCCACAUUGGAACUGAGACACGGUCCAAACUCCUACGGGAGGCAGCAGUGAGGAAUAUUGGUCAAUGGGCGAGAGCCUGAACCAGCCAAGUAGCGUGCAGGAUGACGGCCCUAUGGGUUGUAAACUGCUUUUAUAAGGGAAUAAAGUGAGAGUCGUGACUCUUUUUGCAUGUACCUUAUGAAUAAGGACCGGCUAAUUCCGUGCCAGCAGCCGCGGUAAUACGGAAGGUCCGGGCGUUAUCCGGAUUUAUUGGGUUUAAAGGGAGCGUAGGCCGGAGAUUAAGCGUGUUGUGAAAUGUAGACGCUCNACGUCUGCACUGCAGCGCGAACUGGUUUCCUUGAGUACGCACAAAGUGGGCGGAAUUCGUGGUGUAGCGGUGAAAUGCUUAGAUAUCACGAAGAACUCCGAUUG
rnacentral:rRNA from 1 species